GGAGCGGUAGCAUAGUCCGGCCUAAUGCGCUCGCCUGGAACGCGAGUAUGGUUCACGCCAUCGUGGGUUCGAAUCCCACCCGCUCCG
rnacentral:tRNA from 1 species